rnacentral:rRNA from 1 species
GACGAACGCUGGCGGCGUGCUUAACACAUGCAAGUCGAACGGAAAGGCCCUGCUUUUGUGGGGUGCUCGAGUGGCGAACGGGUGAGUAACACGUGAGUAACCUGCCCUUGACUUUGGGAUAACUUCAGGAAACUGGGGCUAAUACCGGAUAGGAGCUCCUGCUGCAUGGUGGGGGUUGGAAAGUUUCGGCGGUUGGGGAUGGACUCGCGGCUUAUCAGCUUGUUGGUGGGGUAGUGGCUUACCAAGGCUUUGACGGGUAGCCGGCCUGAGAGGGUGACCGGCCACAUUGGGACUGAGAUACGGCCCAGACUCCUACGGGAGGCAGAAGUGGGGAAUAUUGCACAAUGGGCGGAAGCCUGAUGCAGCAACGCCGCGUGCGGGAAGACGGCCUUCGGGUUGUAAACCGCUUUCGCCUGUGACGAAGCGUGAGUGACGGUAAUGGGUAAAGAAGCACCGGCUAACUACGUG